UACGGGGGGGGGCAAGCGUUUGUCCGGAAUCAUUGGGCGUAAAGCGCGUGUAGGCGGUCCGGUAAGUCCGCUGUGAAAGUCGGGGGCUCAACCCUCGAAAGCCGGUGGAUACUGCCGGGCUAGAGGGUGGUAGAGGCGAGUGGAAUUCCCGGUGUAGCGGUGAAAUGCGCAGAUAUCGGGAGGAACACCAGUAGCGAAGGCGGCUCGCUGGGCCAUACCUGACGCUGGAGACGCGAAAGCGUGGGGAGCAAACAGG
rnacentral:rRNA from 1 species